GACGAACGCUGGCGGCGUGCUUAACACAUGCAAGUCGAACGAUGAAGCCGGAGCUUGCUCUGGUGAAUUAGUGGCGAACGGGUGAGUAACACGUGAGUAACCUGCCCUUGACUCUGGGAUAACUGCUAGAAAUGGUAGCUAAUACCGGAUACGACCCUCGGCGGCAUCGCCAGGGGGUGGAAAGAAUUUCGGUCAAGGAUGGACUCGCGGACUAUCAGCUAGUUGGUGAGGUAACGGCUCACCAAGGCGACGACGGGUAGCCGGCCGGAGAGGGUGACCGGCCACACUGGGACUGAGACACGGCCCAGACUCCUACGGGAGGCAGCAGUGGGGAAUAUUGCACAAUGGGCGCAAGCCUGAUGCAGCAACGCCGCGUGAGGGAUGACGGCCUUCGGGUUGUAAACCCCUUUUAGUAGGGAAGAAGCGAAAGUGACGGUACCUGCAGAAAAAGCACCGGCUAACUACGUGCCAGCAGCCGCCGUAA
rnacentral:rRNA from 1 species